CUGACUCAGUGGUCUGACUCCUGAAAGAAAGGAGCUAAGCGGGAUGGUUUGACUCUUGUACCAUCUGCCUUCCCAGAAACACAGUGAGCCUCCAUCUCUGCCCUGGGCAGGGUCCCUACUCAGAAGGAAUCUGGACCUGCCCCCACACAGCUCCCUUAGUAUUCCUGCCCUGCAGACCCAGUGGAAUUCUCCUGGAAGACAGGAGAAAAGGCCGGACCCUUGCUCACCCUCCACCCUGUGCCGGUGCUGCUGAUACAGAUUUCUCUAAACGGUGGAGUCCUCAACGUCCAACAGAAUCUGGCCGGACCCUGCGAGUGAGAGCCCAGAAGUAAUGCACAACUCUUGCCCGGAAGAGGAAAGGCCGGACCGCUCUUCCUCCUAGCCUAGGGUCCCGCAUCCCACAUCCUCACACAGGUUGUCAGAGGCGGGCGCCCUGGGAGGGGAGGCCCUGGGAGGGGAGGCCCCGCCCCUCAUCCCUGUCCCCCAGCACGACGGCC
rnacentral:lncRNA from 1 species